GGUGGCUCAAUGGUAGAGUGCUUGCCUUGCAUGCAUGAAGCCCUGGGUUCGAUUCCUCAGCACCA
rfam:Dipodomys ordii contig_28643, whole genome shotgun sequence.